CAGCUAUCAUAAGGCAGAGAAAGAAAGAGCUAUUAGGUUCUUUGCAAAGACUGUUCUAUCUUCUUUGUUAUAACUGCUAUUACCAGAUUUUAAAUUACUAUAAAUAACAGAAAAUUACCAUGAACCUUGAAUUCAUAUUUUUUGGGGCAAUGUGUUUGCAACCAUUUUUUUUUCUGGAAGAUUUUAAUAGAGGACACUUUGCCAUAAAGAUUACAGACAUUGCUGGAAAAUACCACUGAAGUUCUCUAGAUAACACUAUAUGAAUGGCCACCAAAGUUAAUAUUUUGUAUAGCUGUAAGAAGAACACCUUCUCAGUAAAACCGGAACAAUGCUGUGACUCUUCUGGUGAACAAUUUCAAUCAUGUUAUUAUGACUACAUCCCAUAUUCAGUAGCCAUGUUCAGGCACAUCCUUGUUCAUCUGGACAUCAUAGAAUGACAACUGGCUCGAAUAAAGAAAAGUAAAGUCAUA